GCCAGGCAUGGUGGCACAUGCCUGUAAUCCCAGCUACUCAGGAGGCUGAGACAGGAGAAUUGCUUGAACCCAGGAGGCAGAGGUUGCAGUGAGCCGAGAUUCCACCACUGCCCUCCAGCCUGGGUGACAAAGUGAGAUUCUGUCUCAA
rnacentral:SRP_RNA from 1 species